AUCUUCAGGGCAGGGUUCGUUUCCCGACCGGCGGUAAAGUCCGCGAGCCUUUCAGGUAUGAACCGGUGUGAUUCCGGUACCGACAGUAAAGUCUGGAUGGAAGAAGAG
rnacentral:ncRNA from 1 species